rnacentral:rRNA from 1 species
GACGUAGGGCGCGAGCGUUGUCCGGAUUUAUUGGGCGAAAGAGCUCGUAGGCGGCUUGUCGCGUCGGAUGUGAAAGCCCGGGGCUUAACUCCGGGUCUGCAUUCGAUACGGGCAGGCUAGAGUGUGGUAGGGGAGAUCGGAAUUCCUGGUGUAGCGGUGAAAUGCGCAGAUAUCAGGAGGAACACCUGUGGUGUAGACGGCUUUCUGGACCAUAGCUGACGCUGAGACACGAAAGCGUGGGUAGCAAACAGG